rnacentral:tRNA from 1 species
AAAAGUUUAGUUAAAAAAUAACAUUAUUUUGUCAAGAUAAAAUUAUCAAUAGAUAACUUUUG